rnacentral:rRNA from 1 species
CCUACGGGAGGCAGCAGUGGGGAAUAUUGCACAAUGGGGGAAACCCUGAUGCAGCGACGCCGCGUGAGUGAAGAAGUAUUUCGGUAUGUAAAGCUCUAUCAGCAGGGACGAAAAUGACGGUACCUGAUUAAGAAGCCCCGGCUAACUACGUGCCAGCAGCCGCGGUAAUACUGAGGGGGCAAGCGUUAGCCUGAUUUACUGUGUGUAAGGGGAGCGUAGACGGCAGCACAAGUCUGGAGUGAAAUGCCGGGGCUUAACCCCGGAACUGCUUUGGAAACUGUGCAGCUAGAGUGCAGGAGAGGUAAGUGGAAUUCCUAGUGUAGCGGUGAAAUGCGGAGAUAUUAGGAGGAACACCAGUGGCGAAGGCGGCUUACUGGACUGUAACUGACGUUGAGGCUCGAAAGCGUGGGGAGCAAACAGGAUUAGAUACCCCUGUAGUC